rnacentral:rRNA from 1 species
AAACUGAAGAGUUUGAUCAUGGCUCAGAUUGAACGCUGGCGGCAGGCUUAACACAUGCAAGUCGAGCGGAAACGAUGGGAGCUUGCUCCCAGGCGUCGAGCGGCGGACGGGUGAGUAACGCGUAGGAAUCUACCCAGUAGUGGGGGAUAGCCCGGGGAAACUCGGAUUAAUACCGCAUACGCCCUACGGGGGAAAGGCCGGGAUCUUCGGACCGGUCGCUAUUGGAUGAGCCUGCGUUGGAUUAGCUAGUUGGUAGGGUAAAGGCCUACCAAGGCGACGAUCCAUAGCUGGUCUGAGAGGAUGAUCAGCCACACUGGAACUGAGACACGGUCCAGACUCCUACGGGAG